UGAUCCUGGCUCAGAAUCAAUGCUGGCGGCGUGCUCAGACAUGCAGUCGACGCGAAAGCCCCCUUCGGGGGGCAAGUAGAGUGGCGCACGGGUGAGUAACACGUAGGUAAUCUACCUUUGGAUGGGGAAUAACCACCGGAAACGGUGGCUAAUACCGCAUAAUGCAGCGGCACCUAAUGGUGACAGUUGUUAAAGCGGGGGAUCGCAAGACCUCGCGUCUGAAGAGGAGCCUGCGGCAGAUUAGCUAGUUGGUAAGGUAAAGGCUUACCAAGGCGAUGAUCUGUAGCCGGCCUGAGAGGGCGGUCGGCCACACUGACACUGACAUACGGGUCAGACUCCUACGGGAGGCAGCAGUCGGGAAUUUUGGGCAAUGGGCGAAAGCCUGACCCAGCAACGCCGCGUGAAGGAUGAAAUCCCUCGGGAUGUAAACUUCGCAAGAACGGGAAGAAUAAGUAAGAGCUAACAUCUCUUAUGAUGACGGUACUGUUUGUAAGCUCCGGCUAACUCCGUGCCAGCAGCCGCGGUAAUACGGGGGGAGCAAGCGUUGUUCGGAUUUACUGGGCGUAAAGGGCGCGUAGGCGGCCACCGCAAGUCGACUGUGAAAUCUCCGGGCUUAACCCGGAACGGUCAGCCGAUACUGCGGGGCUAGAGUGCAGAAGGGGCAACUGGAAUUCUCGGUGUAGCGGUGAAAUGCGUAGAUAUCGAGAGGAACACCUGCGGCGAAGGCGGGUUGCUGGGCUGACACUGACGCUGAGGCGCGAAAGCUAG
rnacentral:rRNA from 1 species